rnacentral:lncRNA from 1 species
UAAACAGAGCACCGCAGCGUGUGCAGAGCUACUGUAAUCGGCAUGGCCACGCUAGCCACCGCUCUUGCAUUGCUCGCUGUGUAUCAGCUCGGAAGCGCUGCUAAUGAAAAUCCCAAGAUCAUUACAGGACCCUGCGAUCACACCCCGGACAUCGACUAGAGCGAAAGCAUAAACUACUACCUACGGAACAUAUCGGACACAAGCAGGGUAGGCUACUUGGACGACAGCUGGUUAAGCGGAUUCUCGCUGGACAACCCACAACUGUCAAACUUCGGGAGCCUCUGGGUGUACAAGCGGCCGUACAUCUUCUGCGCCGUCGGCCACACCAUCGUCGAAGCCGCCGUGUUUGCAAAUGAUCCGUUGCGAAUCAGUGUGGAUUGGAAGAGCUGCACUGGCAGCAGCGGAACAUUUGGGUCAACAGUCACUGCCAGCCAACUGCGCCUCUACUUCUCGGUUAUGAAAAACUCCGACGGCUCCCCGCGGCUUGUCAUUCGCAACAUCAAAACGGACAACCUAGAGGACCCGAAGUUGUUUGUGACGGGAACCAGCCGCGGGAUGAGUGCUUUCGUGGAGACCAUCGGCGUAAUCGGAAUGCCGCAUCUCCAGCUGGCCUGGGAAAGUUUUCUUCGCGACGAAGUCCCGACCCUUAUAGACGAAAUGGUGGUCUCUCAUAAGCGAAUGGAAAAUUUGUAGCAUCAUAUUGAGACGCAAGAAGGAAUAAAGGGAAGUUAUAUUAAUCAGCAACAGUGGUCUCCAAUUUCAUUGAACUUAUUCUUCCCAUGGCCUGCGAAGGAUCGUCAUCCAGAUGGUUCUAAACGUUUUCAUCAGAACGCCUCAUCGAUGUACACAUCUUCAACAAUCAGCGCAACAACGGACAA